UCAGCAAUGUGCCUGCAGAAAUCCAAA
rnacentral:piRNA from 1 species